rnacentral:rRNA from 1 species
UACGUAGGGUGCAAGCGUUAAUCGGAAUUACUGGGCGUAAAGCGUGCGCAGGCGGUGAUGUAAGACAGAUGUGAAAUCCCCGGGCUCAACCUGGGAACUGCAUUUGUGACUGCAUCGCUGGAGUACGGCAGAGGGGGAUGGAAUUCCGCGUGUAGCAGUGAAAUGCGUAGAUAUGCGGAGGAACACCGAUGGCGAAGGCAAUCCCCCUGGGCCUGUACUGACGCUCAUGCACGAAAGC